rnacentral:rRNA from 1 species
AUACAGAGGGUGCAAGCGUUAAUCGGAUUUACUGGGCGUAAAGCGCGCGUAGGUGGCUAAUUAAGUCAAAUGUGAAAUCCCCGAGCUUAACUUGGGAAUUGCAUUCGAUACUGGUUAGCUAGAGUAUGGGAGAGGAUGGUAGAAUUCCAGGUGUAGCGGUGAAAUGCGUAGAGAUCUGGAGGAAUACCGAUGGCGAAGGCAGCCAUCUGGCCUAAUACUGACACUGAGGUGCGAAAGCAUGGGGAGCAAACAGGAUUAGAUACCCUGGUAGUCCAUGCCGUAAACGAUGUCUACUAGCCGUUGGGGCCCUUGAGGCUUUAGUGGCGCAGCUAACGCGAUAAGUAGACCGCCUGGGGAGUACGGUCGCACGACUAAAACUCAAAUGAAUUGACGGGG